GAAGCGAAGCAAAGCGUAACACCGCGGAAAAAAGCGGAAAGCGCUGCGUAACGGGAUCAGACUUAGUGUUUUUGUUUUUGUGCCAUAACCUUUGUGUGAGAGUGUCAAGAAGAGCAAGGCUCAGAAUAAAAUCACAGUUCAGGAAAAAUCAAAGGAAACGAAUGUUGCCUAAUUUUAGAAAGAAAUGAGAUGCAGGACCGUCUUGCCGAGGUGAAAUCGUGUGCGUGUGAGUGAGGAAGUGUUCGUCGGUUCGUGGCAGAGUCUUAGCGUGUUUGUGAGUGCCCCAAUUGCCUCUGCUCCGCCAUCCACCACCCACAAUUCCAUCCAGCCGCGGAUUCUACGUGCCAUUGUGGAUCAUCUGGAUCUUUAGCGCAAAUUGAGAUUUCUCUCACCGCCUCACUUAAGCCGAGCCGAUCUGAAAAGA
rnacentral:sRNA from 1 species